ACAGUGUCUGAGGUGUGGUGAGCCACGCUGGGGGAAACUUGAUGCGUUUUGCAUAUUGACAAUAGACACAUGGCUUCCAGAGCAGUAUGAGGAAGUGGUGCAAGCCGCAGGGAGGGGCGGGUCAGCGGGCACAGUCGGGUAUAAGGUUGGCACAGGUGGGUCUGUAAGUUGUACUUGAAGUCGUCCGUCAGAAUGGCCUCUUCAGCUCUGCUCUCGUCUCUCCUGCUGCUCUCUCUCUCAGGGUUCCUCGCUCAAACUACAGGUCAGCUGUCCUUCCUCCUGGAGGUGAAAUACAACCAACCGGACAGAAACAGUCACGUGUUCUCUGCCCAAACUCCCUUCAGAGGGGUUCUGUUUGGGGCCAUGACCAGGCUGAACAACUCUAGCCCAGACUUCAACUUCACCUCCUCAACGAACGUCGACUACGGAGAGUUCCUGGUGAGCGUCAACGGUUUGUUUGGGAAUGACCAAGACCGGACAUACUGGGAGCUGCUGGUUCAGAAAGACACCAACACCAUUAUCAGACCUGAUGUUGGGAUCAGCUGUUACAUUCCUCAGGCCAAGGAGAAGGUGAUCCUGAACUACACCACUUAUUAGACAGAGGUCCCUUCUUUGGAUCGCUCUCACUUGGAGAGUAUGGACCUUAUGCCCCUGACGGCCAUCUUGGUUCUAACCUCAGCAGUAUUUAUGCUCCUGUUUGGAACCAAGAUGGCAGCUUUGUAUAUAAGGCCCAGGCUUUGGAACCCGGACGAUUCACAUCUCAACCUGGCCUUGCUCUUUUUUUUGUUCCGUAAUAACUUUGCAAUUAAAUACUUCUAGUGUAUAAACCUCAACCUGCCUCUGGUCUACAUCCGGACUUUGAACAAUUAUAACAUGAUCAAAUAAUAUAACAAAUACAUUUAUAAAACUUAAUGUCAAAAUCCGUGGUGGUACAAUACAUUUAUUGUAACAUGAAUAAAAACACAUCAAACAGUAUUACUAACAGAAAACUAACAGAAAUCAAUUACAUUUACGGCAUUUAGCAGACGCUUUUAUCCAAAGCGACUUCGAUUGGUUAAUACACACAUUGACACACCGACGGCAGGAGCAGUUAGGGUUAAGCAUUUCUUGCUCAAGGGCACAAUAACCCUCAGCUAGGGGGAGCUGGAGAUCGAACUAGCAACCUUAAGGUUACAAGACAACUGCUGUACAGCCUGAGCUAAGGCAACCUCUUAAAGAGUCCUAGACUAAGUGAUACUUGUUAUUAGAUAAUAAGCAAAUUAUUACUCAUUGAAGUUAUACCAACACACAACAGUACUCUCCUGCUGCAUCAUAGUGUUUCAACACACCACCAAUAGAUGACAUCACCGAGCCGCACAGCAGGAAGCUACAUUGAGGUAGCAUUGAUACCUCGAAGGGGAUAGAAUGCUGUUCCAGUCACCUUGAAGACGUGUGAUUCAAGCAUGGAGCCCUGAGGUUCCCCACAUCUUCUCAAUCUCAUGUUCUGUGGAGGGAUGAGACGCCGAAAGCCCCCCACAGGGUGGACUGGAGAUCAUUUAAUUUCAAUAAUACUUUUUAAUUAAUUAAUUUUAUGACCAAAUUUAUGUAUUUCAUCCUUCAUACUCGAAAUUUCGAUUCUUCUAUUCGUCUUGUGCAUUUGUUAUAAUUGACAAUAAAGCUGACUUUGACUUUGACUUUGACUUGGACAACGGCCUU
rnacentral:lncRNA from 1 species